CCUACGGGGGGCUGCAGUCGAGAAUCUUCGGCAAUGGGGGAAACCCUGACCGAGCGACGUCGCGUGGUGGAUGAAGGCCUUCGGGUUGUAAACACCUGUUGGGGGGGAACAAUAACGAGUGAACCCCUGAGGAAGCACGGGCUAAGUUCGUGCCAGCAGCCGCGGUAAGACGAACCGUGCAAACGUUACUCGGAAUCACUGGGCUUAAAGCGCACGUAGGCGGCGACAUAAGUUAGAGGUGAAAUCCCAUCGGCUCAACCGUGGAACUGCCUCUA
rnacentral:rRNA from 1 species